rnacentral:rRNA from 1 species
UUCUAAAGUAGUAAUUUAGAAACUUAAAGUUUUGACGGUAUUUAAUUUUCCAGAGGAAUAUGUAAUUUAAUCGUCAAUUCACGAUAAUUUUACUUAUUUUGUUUUUGUAUAUCUCCGUUAAUAGAUUUUAUUAAAAAUUUUUAAAAAUUUCUAGGAAAAUAAUUUUAUUAUUUCAGGUCAAGGUGCAGAAUAAAUAAGAUAUUAUGUAUUACAAUCAAAGUAUUUGAAUUGAAUAAAUGUUGAAAUAUUUUUGAAAAUGAAUCUGUAAGUAAAUUAUUAUUAAAUUUUAGUAGAAAUAAUAUUAAAU